AACGAACGCUGGCGGCAUGCCUAACACAUGCAAGUCGAACGAGACCUUCGGGUCUAGUGGCGCACGGGUGCGUAACGCGUGGGAACCUGCCCUUAGGUUCGGAAUAACUCCCCGAAAGGGGUGCUAAUACCGGAUAAUGUCUUCGGACCAAAGAUUUAUCGCCUUUGGAUGGGCCCGCGUUGGAUUAGCUAGUUGGUAAGGUAAAAGCCUACCAAGGCGACGAUCCAUAGCUGGUCUGAGAGGAUGAUCAGCCACACUGGGACUGAGACACGGCCCAGACUACGACGAGAGGCAGCAGUAGGGAAUAGUCCGCAAUGGGCGAUAGCCUGAGGGAGAAACGGAGCGUGAGUGAUGAAGGUCUUCGGAUCGGAAAACUCUGUUAUUAGGGAAGAACAUAUGUGUAAGUAACUGUGCACAUCUUGACGGGACCUAAUCAGAAAGCCACGGCUAACUACGUG
rnacentral:rRNA from 1 species